UUAAUGUUUGUAUUGAUUCAGACACAGGCUAUUCGGCAUAAAUACGGCGCCGGGGGCGCCGAAGCACGUUUUCGCUUCCACAGGUUUGAAGGGUUGAAGGUCAAAAGACCAUUCAGUAAUGAUCCCUCCGCAGGUUCACCUACGGAGA
rnacentral:misc_RNA from 1 species